rnacentral:sRNA from 1 species
ACACAGGGAAGGAGGUGGUCCGACAAAUUGAGUGACUUAUGGACAUGUGAGGUGGCUGCCCGCUAGCAGCACCGGGGGAGUCGUAUUGCACCGACCUGUGUGCGCUGGCGAAUUCCCCGCAGUCACCCGGCCCCCGAGCCCCUCGGUCCGUCCAACCAGGAACCAACGGCUCGGGGGCUGCCCCAU